rnacentral:lncRNA from 1 species
CGCUCCUCCAGUAGACAUUGAUGGUAUUCGUGAACCUGUUUCAGGGUCUCUACUUUACGGAAACAAUAUUAUUUCCGGUGCCAUUAUUCCUACUUCUGCAGCUAUAGGUUUACAUUUUUACCCAAUCUGGGAAGCGGCAUCCGUUGAUGAAUGGUUAUACAACGGUGGUCCUUAUGAACUAAUUGUUCUACACUUCUUACUUGGCGUAGCUUGUUACAUGGGUCGUGAGUGGGAGCUUAGUUUCCGUCUGGGUAUGCGACCUUGGAUUAGUAAAGGACUCGGGGGGGUUUACAGAAGGUAUGCAGUCAGAGUUGGAGAAAGGAAGUGAAAGGAAGAACAAGGAUCUUUCCCCCGCAAAGGAGGCGACUGUGCACUUUUUUGAAAGGAAGCUUUAGCAUCAGAGAAAGCUAGUUCGGGGUCGGUGAACAAAAGAAGGCUAGAUCUUCAGUAGAGAAAGAGAUAGACUGAGAUCUCAGCUAGAAGAAUCUCACGAUUAGAAUGAGUUCUUGCUUCUUACCUUAGGGGUCCAACACUAUAAUAACAAACUUCGAAACAUUUAAUGAAUAUACAAUCAAUAUUUAUUAACAUCAAGUAGGUAUUGGAUACAUCGUUUGAGGUACAACAAUACAAAUUGCUAGAAAAUAAUAGCAAGUUCUCACAGUUCCUGAACAAUGCCUAAAUGUUUUGAAGGAACUAAAAAAAUAUUUCUUAGUCAUAUGCAUUUUUAAGUUAGUCCAAAAAGAUGACAGGUGCAAACAUUUAUAUUCUAAUAUUUAUAUUGCAGAUGUGGCAUCUUCCAACCAUCAGUUGUUCCUUUCCUUCCAAAUUAUGCAUUCUCCAGAGUAUGCAGAAAGGUACACCGUUUCAGAUAGCCUUAUAUUUUUUUCUCAUUUUCCUUCCCUGUCAGCUACUGGUAGCAACUCUUAGAUUGGAUAGUCUGAUCGAUUAUAGCUACGAUUUAAGAGAAUUGGGAAACUUUUGUUAAUAGAAAUACAAUAAGAAUAGGAAUUAGAAUCAUGUACCUGUUAUGUAGUGGAAUAAAAUUACAACCCAGAAAAUUGCCCCUAAGUCCAACUUUGAUUCUCUUGGAAAACAAAGUUUAGUUCCAUAAACUAAAUGCCUUUUUUAUAUGUAUUUUACAAAAAAAGAAGAGAAAACUUCUCUAUUAAGUAAUAAGAAGAUUAAUGAGAAAGGGAGAGUAAUUCCUUUUUUGUUGUUCGUUCUUACCCAUUUGAAGAAGAAGACCAAAAUCAGUUUUUAAAGAGAAAGAAAUUAACUGCUAUGGAAAAACUGCUCUCAACCACACCUAAAUGUAUAGUAACUUCUCCAAAGAAGUUAAUUUAUUUCCAAAUUCUAUCUCUCCAUAAAUAGAUUGGAUCAACCCACAUAGAGCGACCCGGUAUCCGAAUUCAGUACCUAACAACUUUCGAGGUUACAAAACUUUUAUGAUAAUUGUACCUGAGAGAUUGAUGCAAAUCCAUCUUUAACCAUCUCAAGUCAUUUCCUUUUGAACUCUGAAAUAACCUGCUAUUGCAAAUGCUUUAGGAGGGAAAAAGUUAGAAGAUAAGCGGCAACAAUUAAAGAAUGUGAACACUGAAUAGAAAUGGAGCAUCUAAAUUUUGUUUAGUCCUCUUUGCCUUGGAAUGAUCUAUUCAAUACUCGUCAGUGAAGCGAUCCUGAUCUAGACCUCCCCUAAUAACUUAAAUAUGUAAUGAAAAAAUUUAAAGUGCUAGUAUUUCUUAAGAAAAAAAUAGCAUGGUCAAAUAGUUCAUAAUUUUGUUCACAAACAUGCAAAAGAUGCACAUAAACAUGAAAAAAAUAGAACGUCUACCAGAAUCCUGCUGGUAGUAGAUGAACAGCAAGACUAACGAUCAAGUGUCUUCUUCAUUUACUUUUGCUUCUAAAAAGGAGGGGCAUAUGAGUUGUUUAAGACAUUAAAAAAACACCCUAUAAAGAAAGAUCUAUGGGCAAAAAAAUCCGCAUAUUGUGAAAAACUGCAAUUACAGAGUCCUAGUAGUUAAAAAGGCAAAUAGACGCGCAAACUACCAAAAAUGACUCUCCAGCUGUUUUAUACAAUGAAAAUCAGACUGGCCACCCUGUCUUCUAAAACUAAAGUUUACAGAACCGUCAACGCCAUGAGGUGCAUGAGCAGAAUGGGAAUGCAGAUUAAAUCUAAUGAUAUGUACCUAAAUUUCAAUAGGAUAAUCACAAUCUAAUGACAGAAUUUAACGGAGACUUCAUAUAAACACACAAUCAAAAAUCAGUAAUGACAUUAUAGCAACACAAUAAAAAAA